CCUACGGGGGGCAGCAGUGGGGAAUAUUGGGCAAUGGGCGCAAGCCUGACCCAGCAACGCCGCGUGAAGGAAGAAGGCCCUCCGGUUGUAAACUUCUUUUUUCAGGGACGAAACAAGUGAUGGUACCUGACGAAUAAGCCACGGCUAACUACGUGCCAGCAGCCGCGGUAAUACGUAGGUGGCAAGCGUUAUCCGGAUUUACUGGGUGUAAAGGGCGUGUAGGCGGGGAGGCAAGGCAGAUGUGAAAACCACGGGCUCAACCUGUGGCCUGCAUUUGAAACUGUUUUUCUUGAGUGCGGGAGAGGCAAGCGGAAUUCGGUGUGUAGCGGUGAAAUGCGUAGAUAUACGGAAGAACACCGAUGGCGAAGGCAGAUUGCUGGACAGUAACUGACGCUGAGGCGCGAAAGCGUGGGGAGCGAACAGGAUUAGAUACCCCAGUAGUC
rnacentral:rRNA from 1 species